rnacentral:lncRNA from 1 species
UCAGGGAUGUCGGAAAGUCACCCAAAACAUCCACUGAGUGAGAAUCGAGCCACCAGAUAGCAAUAAAACCCUAGGUUAGACUACCAGAAACCCUAGAAGCCGAUAGGUCACCAAAAAAUUACCCAAAAAUCAUCGGAAAAUCUCCCAGAACGUUCGAGUGAGAAAAUACACUCAGAUAUCACGAUGAAAAACUCAGAAAGGCAUCCGAUUUAGAUCAGAAUCGUCAUCGACCACAAAGUCUCAGAAACACCCCCAAAAAUCUCAAAGG